rnacentral:snRNA from 1 species
GUCGCUUCUCAGCCUUUUGGCUAAGAUCAAGUGUAGUAUAUGUUCUUAUCAGUUUAAUAAAUGCAUAUUGAACUUUUAAUUCUAUCCCCUUGCAAAAGUCACCAAUU